rnacentral:tRNA from 1 species
GUGGUUGUAGCUCAGUGGUGGAGCACUUGCCUCUCACGUCUGAGGCACUGGGUUCAAUCCUCAGCACCACA